UCAUCAUAGUCACGUUUUAUUGGCAAAGAGUAAGAAAUUGAAAUAAUAGUAUAAAUUUAGAUCUUUUACUUUAAAAUUACGUGCGCUGGAAUUAGGUGGUGUGUUUGACGCUCUUUAAUGAUGCUAAUAACCAGUGUUUAUUAAAUUAACUACAUCUGAGUCGAAAACGUCGUGGCCUCGGAAUGGUUGCACGAAUAUUCAACAUAAAGAAGGCCUCAAUCACCUUAAAGCGUUUACCCAAUAUCAACGUAAAUGGCCUAGUUUCCAUUCCCAUCGGCAACCAAAUGUACAAGUUGCACUGGAAGCAUACUUGGGCUGGCCCAUUGAGCUCGCCAAUAGAUAACAUGACACCCGACGGGCGCGUGUGAGACCUGGCCACUCGCUACACUGGAGAUUAUGAAAAAGGAAAUAAUCCAAAAGGUUUCUGCGCGCAAGUAAGUCGUCUUUAGAUUGGCGGAGUUAAGUUUCUUUAAAAUCUCAUGCAGGUCAAUCGAGCGCCUUUAAGAAAUCAACAUUUUUAGUGCUGUGCCGAUUUUCAGGGCUUUGGCGAAUCUAAAAUGUACAUCCCUCCAAAAUCGGAUGUAAUUUUAGCGAUAUUUUAUUAUUUACCAGAAACUAAGUAAUGUUUCAUUUUGUCUCUCAGCCACAUCUACCAGGCUUAUGGACUGUAAUAUAUUCAAUAUCGUCGGUACCUGGAAAUCUAAAAAUGUAAAGUUCAGACAAAUCUGGAUCGAGUUUGUCUAUUUUAAAGGCUUUUAUGAAUCCUUAAAGCCUAAUGUGAGCACAAAAACUGAGUUUCUAUUUUUCAGCCAAAUUAGCCAUGGACAGCAUAUGAUCGCUAUUUAUGUUACCUAGUUGACCUAUAUAAUGUUGGUUAUUCCAUAUCAUGGGUAUAGUCAUAGCGUACCCAAAGGACCGAGCGCUCGCAAAAUGCCCAAGAAGUGCGUUGAAAAAUAUGUAUGCUUUUAUUUUACAGCAGCCCGCCCCUGCAUGGUUUCUAGUUGACUAACAUAUCUUUGGUUAUACCAUGCCAUCGAUAUAUCCUUGGGAACCUAAAGGAUCAGAUCCCUGCAAAAUGUGCAUUGAACUGGUCCAAAAACAUGUAUGCUUUUUAUUACAGGAGCCCUUUUACAUUAGCUGCAGCUGUUGUUUAACAGCCGCUUUACAUCACUCGUUUUACAUAAACGCUACUUAACAGUACUCAUUUUAAUUGAGUUACAUUUUUGCCCCUUAUGGCUAUGCAAUAAAAAUUUUUAUUCGAAGAAAUCGUCGAC
rnacentral:sRNA from 1 species